AGAGUUUGAUCCUGGCUCAGGACGAACGCUGGCGGCGUGCCUAACACAUGCAAGUCGAACGGACUGACACCUAACACCGAGUGCUUUUGGAUACUGUGGCUCAUAAAAGCCAGCGAGUGCGCGAACGUAGAGAGCGCACCACGCUUUAAUCAAGAGCCAACACAACAGUAAGCAGGAAGAACAGAAAGAGCACUGGGUGUUAGGUGAAGGUUAGUG
rnacentral:rRNA from 1 species